AUGAGGAAGCGAAGGAGCUUUGCACAGGUAGUUCAAUUACCAUAUACUACAGAGAGAAGAGGGUUGGAGAGAAAAGCAGAGCAAAUAAAACAACGAAAAGAAGCCAGUGAAGAUGGAAUGAUGGGGACCAGGGACUUGAACGUUGGUUGUGGCACAUGGUAACACGUAACUUUCACCAGGUUCCAGAUGCCAUCAGGAUGCCGACCAGCUUUCCCUGGACUGAAGACCCCACCAAUAUGUCCUGGAGCUCUGCUUCCCCAGAGGCCCACCCUACUGGGGAAGGAGAGAGGCAGACUGGGAGUAUGGACCAACCAGUCAACGCCCAUGUUCAGCAGGGAAGCAAUUACAGAAGCCAGGCCUUCCACUUUCUGCAACCCACAAUGACCCUGAGUCCAUGCUCCCAGAGGGAUAGAGAAUGGGAAAGCUCUCAGGGGAGGGGGUGGGAUACGGAGAUUGGGUGGUGGGAAUUGUGUGGAGUUGUACCCCUCCUACCCUAUGGAUUUGUUAAUUUAUCCUUUCUUAAAAUAAAUAAGUAAAUAAAUAAAUAUAAAUAAAUAAAUAAAAAUAAUAA